rnacentral:rRNA from 1 species
AGCUCCAAUAGCGUAUAUUAAAGUUGUUGCAGUUAAAAAGCUCGUAGUUGGAUUUCUGUCUUUGUUGUGCGGUCCACCUCGCGGUGAGCACUGUGCGAUGGGGACUUCCUCUCGAUGUUUUGCCGUGUUCUUAACUGAGCGCGGUUUAGACUCGGGACCUUUACUUUGAAAAAUUAGAGUGUUCAAAGCAGGCCUACGCUUGAAUACAUUAGCAUGGAAUAAUUGAAUAGGACUUUGGUUCUAUUUUGUUGGUUUCUAGGACCGAAGUAAUGAUUAAUAGGGACAGUUGGGGGCAUUAGUAUUUAAUUGUCAGAGGUGAAAUUCUUGGAUUUAUGAAAGACUAACUACUGCGAAAGCAUUUGCCAAGGAUGUUUUCA